GCCCGUAUAGCUCAGUGGUAGAGCGCGUCACUCGUAUUCCGACAUGACGAGGUCCGUUGUUCAAUCCAGCGUGUGGGCA
rnacentral:tRNA from 2 species